UACAGAGGGUGCAAGCGUUGUUCGGAAUUAUUGGGCGUAAAGCGCGUGUAGGCGGCUUUGCAAGUCGGGUGUGAAAGCCCUCAGCUCAACUGAGGAAGUGCGCCCGAAGCUGCAGAGCUUGAGUACCGGAGAGGAUGGUGGAAUUCCCCAAGUAGAGGUGAAAUUCGUAGAUAUGGGGAGGAACACCGGUGGCGAAGGCGACCAUCUGGACGGAUACUGACGCUGAGACGCGAAAGCGUGGGUAGCAAACAGGA
rnacentral:rRNA from 1 species